GAGGGUAUAGCUCAGUGGUAGAGUGCAUGCCUAGCAUGCAUGAGGUCCUGGGUUCAAUCCCCAAUGCCUCCA
rnacentral:tRNA from 1 species